CAAGACGCCGCUUUCACCGGUUAGAAGAACUUCAUUCCGUGGUUCUCUACUGCAUAGGGGCUGAUGGCCAGUGUCACUCAUUCAGGACACACCCCCACCUGGCUUCUGGCCCCUUCUUCCCUGUGAUUGGAGACAUUUGCUAACCACCGUCAUCUCCCUUGUACUACAGAGCAGCUUUUUCCUCUCUACUAGAUCGGGCAUUGCCUUCCUCUUCAAGGCCCCUUGUCUUGGCCCAGUGGUGACCAAGGAGAAAGUUCUGCUCACCUAAGACUUAGCACUAGGCAGGUGCCUCUGGCACAGCCUCCUUCCUUUGGGAGCUGGCGGGACUGUGUGAUCCUGGGGCGCCCUCUCGUGGUUGAAGAUGCUCACAAACCUCGUCUGAAAUCUCUCCUGUCUACGGCCGCCAGGUGAAUCGUGCCAAGACGCCACUUUCACAGAUUGAGCACUUACUUACCUGGUAUUGUGAUGACCUGUGUCUCUCCCCUUGACCGGAUUGUGACAUCCAAGGCAGGAACCUUGCCUGGUUGAUUAUGGCGUAUUCUUGGACUCUAG
rnacentral:lncRNA from 1 species